ACUCCUUGAGGGUCCUGAAGGAACGUUGAAGACGACGACGUUGAUAGGCCGGGUGUGUAAGCGCAGCGAUGCGUUGAGCUAACCGGUACUAAUGAACCGUGAGGCUUAACCUUACAACGCCGAAG
rnacentral:rRNA from 1 species